GUUUGUUUUCCACACAGAUCAGUAGAAGUAGCAGUAGAACACAGUAGAACACAGUAGAACACAGUAGAACACAUCAGAGAACACAGUAGAACACAGUAGAACACAGUAGAACACAGUAGAACACAUCAGAGAACACAGUAGAACACAGUAGAACACAGUAGAACACAGUAGAACACAUCAGAGAACACAGUAGAACACAUCAGAGAACACAGUAGAACACAGUAGAACACAGCUGGAACAGAGAGGAAUGAGCAGCAGACAGCAGGAUGAUGAUACUUUAGGAGAAAAAGAGGCCUGUGCAUCUGAUGAAGCACCACAGAAGAAGAAGAAGAUCAUUUAUUUCUCUAGUGGAGAAACUUUGAUGGAGGAAGACAGUGAUGAAGAGGAGGAUGAGGAAGAUGAAGGAGAACCAGCAGAGAAGGCGUCUUUGAGGAGAGACGCCGUGCUGAUUGGACGAGCUUCACUGCUCAGUGUUGAUUUCCUGGGUCAGAGGUUAUCAGCAGCGUUUGGACUGAAUGCAGCUAAAUACCAGUACGUUAUAGAACAGUACCAUCAGAACCAUCACAUGAGAAGAAGGAAAAACACAAAGAGCCUCUCAGAAGGACAGGAGGAGAUCCAGAUCUCUACUGGGAUCAGACCCUCACAUUAUGGUUCUACUGGUUCUACUGCUUCUAUUGGUUCUACUGGUUCUGUUGGUGCUACUGCUUCUACUGGUUCUAUUGGUGCUACUGCUUCUACUGUUUCUACUGGUGCUACUGGUGCUCAGGAGAACCAGAACCAUCAACACAUGGACAGAAUGGAAGGAACACACAACAGAGGAUACCAACCAGAGGAUGACGUCUGC
rnacentral:lncRNA from 1 species